rnacentral:lncRNA from 1 species
ACAAGUACCUGAUUUCACUCUAAACUCAGUGGCUUGCUUCUCCCUCUGGUUCUGGGCACAAAGGGCAGCCACUCCAUACUCUUUGAUCCAGUUGCACAGGAUAGGAGUCUGCUCAAGCUUUUAAUUAACCUUUAUGACAUGCAUGGUCUCCUGGAAGAGCGGAAGCUCAUGAUGAUGUUUACAGCUUCCAAUCUAUCAGGGUGAAGGCGGGAAGCCCUCACGGCCUUCCAGACCUGCCACUGCUUUUUGCCAUGAUGUGCUCACCAAGGCUCAUGCAUCUGACACUUGCUCUUAAGCACGGUGGUUUGAGGGCGUCUAAGAAGCUCGGAAGGUCCUGUUCACACAACAGCAGAGAGGCCCGGCACACUGAAAAUUCAUGGCUUCAGCUAAUCAAAGAACUGAGGUCAUAAGACAAAACACUACCCCACUCCUGAAGUUAGAGAGUCAGCUAGGAAGACAAAGAGAACUCCAAGUUAUGGGAGCAGAAACCCAAGACCAGCAGUCUCCAUGGUAACGAUUGCUGGGUUUCUUUGACCCAGUACAGUAUGCUUGGCUUUCAACAAAAAGUACAAGCACUGACCUCUGGUCAUGAUGACUCAUCAGCCCUCCGAGCAGCUGUGAGGAGAGUUACCUCCAACACAGACAAUGGAGGGAAGCUGGUGCAGUGUGACCAGCUGCCUCACACCUCUGGUGUCAUGGCUUCCAAAUAUGAUGGACUGUACCUUCUGUUUACAAGACCUAAUAAAGUCUUCUUUCCAAAGGC